rnacentral:rRNA from 1 species
GGGUGAGUAACACGUGGAUAACCUACCUAUAAGACUGGGAUAACUUCGGGAAACCGGAGCUAAUACCGGAUAAUAUAUUGAACCGCAUGGUUCAAUAGUGAAAGACGGUUUUGCUGUCACUUAUAGAUGGAUCCGCGCCGCAUUAGCUAGUUGGUAAGGUAACGGCUUACCAAGGCAACGAUGCGUAGCCGACCUGAGAGGGUGAUCGGCCACACUGGAACUGAGACACGGUCCAGACUCCUACGGGAGGCAGCAGUAGGGAAUCUUCCGCAAUGGGCGAAAGCCUGACGGAGCAACGCCGCGUGAGUGAUGAAGGUCUUCGGAUCGUAAAACUCUGUUAUUAGGGAAGAACAAAUGUGUAAGUAACUAUGCACGUCUUGACGGUACCUAAUCAGAAAGCCACGGCUAACUACGUGCCAGCAGCCGCGGUAAUACGUAGGUGGCAAGCGUUAUCCGGAAUUAUUGGGCGUAAAGCGCGCGUAGGCGGUUUUUUAAGUCUGAUGUGAAAGCCCACGGCUCAACCGUGGAGGGUCAUUGGAAACUGGAAAACUUGAGUGCAGAAGAGGAAAGUGGAAUUCCAUGUGUAGCGGUGAAAUGCGCAGAGAUAUGGAGGAACACCAGUGGCGAA